UGGACAGAUUAUUGUAUUCGACUGUAUUCACGGUGUGAAAUAGGGGAUUACAUUGUUUUUAAAACGGAAAGUGAAUCAAUUAACAUAAUAGACUCCU
rnacentral:pre_miRNA from 1 species